rnacentral:rRNA from 1 species
AUACGGAGGGUGCAAGCGUUAUCCGGAUUUAUUGGGUUUAAAGGGUGCGCAGGCGGAUAAUUAAGUCAGUGGUGAAAUCCUCCCGCUCAACGGGAGAACUGCCAUUGAUACUGAUAAUCUGGAAUACGGUUGAAGUGGGCGGAAUGUAGCAUGUAGCGGUGAAAUGCAUAGGGAUGCUACAGAACACCGAUCGCGAAGGCAGCUCACUAAGCCGAUAUUGACGCUCAGGCACGAAAGCGUGGGUAGCGAACAGGAUUAGAAACCCCUGUAGUCC